rnacentral:rRNA from 1 species
UUAAGGAAGAAGAUCUGACGGUACUUAAGGUGGAAAGCAUCGGCUAACUCCGUGCCAGCAGCCGCGGUAAGACGGGGGAUGCAAGUGUUAUCCGGAAUCACUGGGCGUAAAGCGUCUGCAGGUGGUUUCCUAAGUCCACUGUUAAACCUUGAGGCUCAACCUCAAAUCUGCAUUGGAAACUAGGAGACUUGAGUAUAGUAGGGGUAGAGGGAAUUUCCAGUGGAGCGGUGAAAUGCGUAGAUAUUGG